UACAGAGGGUGCAAGCGUUAAUCGGAAUUACUGGGCGUAAAGCGUGCGUAGUCGGUUAUUUAAGUCGGGCGUGAAAGCCCCGGGCUCAACCUGGGAAUUGCGUUCGAUACUGAAUAGCUAGAGUUCGGCAGAGGGAAGCGGAAUUCCGGGUGUAGCGGUGGAAUGCGUAGAGAUCCGGAAGAACACCGGUGGCGAAGGCGGCCUGCUGGGCUAUGGCUGACACUGAGGCGCGACAGCGUGGGGAGCAAACAGG
rnacentral:rRNA from 1 species